GAAAUCUUUUACAUCUAAGAAGACAAGACUAGGAAACAUCCCUAUAAAAUUCAGAACGAAAAACAUCUCAGAAAGUGCUCUACUCCACGGGAAUUGAUUCUAUUGAUGACAGCCCAAGGUUAUGAAAAUAGUAUGCACCCCUCUCUUUCCAAUCUAUCCGUAAUUAUAAUUGACUGCGACAACGUUACUGCUUGUCUUCUGCUUUUCUAGGCUUGAUACUGGGAAAUGGCUGAUUGAGCUCCUCGUCGGGAAUGAUAACUGGCCAAGUUUCCCCAGCUUCUCGGAACAUUUGUUCGGUCUCAAGGAGUU
rnacentral:misc_RNA from 1 species